rnacentral:rRNA from 1 species
GACAGAGGAUGCAAGCGUUAUCCGGAAUGAUUGGGCGUAAAGCGUCUGUAGGUGGCUUUUCAAGUCCGCCGUCAAAUCCCAGGGCUCAACCCUGGACAGGCGGUGGAAACUACCAAGCUGGAGUACGGUAGGGGCAGAGGGAAUUUCCGGUGUAGCAGUGAAAUGCGUAGAGAUCAUGAGGAAGACCAGUGGCGAAGGCGGGUCUCUGGACAGUUCCUGACACUGAGGCACGAAGGCCAGGGGAGCAAACGGG